UACGUAGGCAGCGAGCGUUGUUCGGAGUUACUGGGCGUAAAGGGUGUGUAGGCGGUUGUUUAAGUUUGGUGUGAAAUCUCCCGGCUCAACUGGGAGGGUGCGCCGAAUACUGAAUGACUAGAGUGCGGGAGAGGAGAGUGGAAUUCCUGGUGUAGCGGUGAAAUGCGCAGAUAUCAGGAAGAACACCCGUGGCGAAAGCGGCUCUCUGGAACGGUACUGACGCUGAGACGCGAAAGCGUGGGGAGCGAACAGG
rnacentral:rRNA from 1 species